rnacentral:lncRNA from 1 species
AACAUGCAGAGGGUUGAAAAAUCACUGCGCCAAGCCUUUGGGGGAGCUCUUCUUGUAGAAAUACCUUCGAUGUCUGUGGCACUUUCCUUUGAAGCUUUUCAAUGUGACUGAGAUGGUAUAGAUGAUGGUUUCAGAAGAUGAAGGCAGCCGGGAUCCCUGAGUCACCACAUGGAGGAGAGCCACUCGGGAGAACCACUGACCUGCACUGGACAAU